CAACUUACCUGGCAGGAGAGAUACCAUGGUCACGAAGGUGGCUUUCCCAGGGUGGGGCUCAUCCAUUGCACUCCAGAUGUGCUGACCCCUGUGACUUCCCCCGACCCUCCCCCCAAAAUCCCAGUCCCAUCACUUACUUGGCUAAGUUUCUUCAUCUCACUGUGC
ensembl:snRNA U1 U1 spliceosomal RNA